UGGCCUCGUCGUAUAGUGGUUAGUAUACCGGGCUCUCAACCCGGAGGUGCGGGUUCGAUUCCCGCCGAGGCUACCAG
rnacentral:tRNA from 1 species